rnacentral:tRNA from 3 species
GCACUCGUAACUCAGCUGGAUAGAGUGACAGACUUCGAAUCUGUAGGUCGUGGGUUCGAAUCCUACCGGGUGCG